UACAGAGGUCUCAAGCGUUGUUCGGAUUCAUUGGGCGUAAAGGGUGCGUAGGCGGCGGGGUAAGUCGGGUGUGAAAUGUCAGAGCUCAACUCUGAAACUGCACUCGAUACUGCUCUGCUUGAGGACUGGAGAGGAGACUGGAAUUCACGGUGUAGCAGUGAAAUGCGUAGAUAUCGUGAGGAAGACCAGUGGCGAAGGCGGGUCUCUGGGCUGACACUGACGCUCAUGCACGAAAGCGUGGGGAGCAAACAGG
rnacentral:rRNA from 1 species